CCUCCCCAGUACUGGAAUUAAAAGCAUGCACCACCAUACCUGGCUGAUUUUAUGGAGUGUCAGAUCCUGAGAUGGUCGAGUGCCCCGUGACUGGUGAUUUAAGACUUUGGAAUCAAGGAAAGACCCAGGUUUAGUAGCCUGCUGCACUCCUCCUGGCAGAGUCCCUUGGACAAGAUAAUGUGUUUGUUUUACUGGUAGAACUCUAUGCUAUAUGGAGUUACAUUUUCCUUAUUGGUAAAAUGUGUAUCUCAGGGGGGUUAAACAGAUGAUUUAUGGAAAGUGCCUUUCACAGAGAGACUGGCACAUAGUAGGUGCUCAAUCACUAUUAGUUCUUCUGGCGCCUGCCAGAAGUAACAGAAAUCAGGGCACUAGGACUUUGAAACCUUGCUGCUACUAAUAAAAGAAAUAAUGUGAUUUAUUUUUUCAGUGCUGUUUGGGGGAAAGGCGUGUGCUUCAUAAAUAUGUAUUGGAAAGUACUUAGCAAAUGAGUAGAAAUAAUAAAAAUAUGUCAAAGGAAACAGCUCCUAUAAA
rnacentral:lncRNA from 1 species